CUUCUCCAGAAGAAAGUUUAUAAAAGGCAAGAGCUAUCCUGCCUUCCCAGUGGCAGUUUUCAAACAUUUGAAAGAUGUUAGCUGGAAGGCAGCUGCCUUUGUGCAGUGCACAGUCUGCAUAACCAACCACAGCAGUCCUGAUCCCAGAGAUGACCUAAUAUGAUAGAA